UAGCAUGGAAUAAUGGAAUAGGACUUUGGUUUUAUUUUGUUGGUUAUAAAGCCGAGGUAAUGAUUAAUAGGGAUAGUCGGGGGCGUUAGUAUUCCGUAGUCAGAGGUGAAAUUCUUGGAUUUACGGAAGACUAACUAGUGCGAAAGCAUUCGCCAAGGAUGUUUUCAUUGAUCAAGAACGAAAGUUAGGGGAUCGAAGACGAUCAGAUACCGUCGUAGUCUUAACCAUAAACUAUGCCGACUGGGGAUCGGUGGAGUUUUUUGACGCCAUCGGCACCUUACGAGAAAUCAAAGUUUUUGGGUUCUGGGGGGAGUAUGGUCGCAAGGCUGAAACUUAAAGGAAUUGACGGAAGGGCACCACCAGGGGUGGAGCCUGCGGCUUAAUUUGACUCAACACGGGGAAACUCACCAGGUCCAGACACAAUGAGGAUUGACAGAUUGAGAGCUCUUUCUUGAUUUUGUGGGUGGUGGUGCAUGGCCGUUCUUAGUUGGUGGAGUGAUUUGUCUGCUUAAUUGCGAUAACGAACGAGACCUUAACCUGCUAAAUAGCCCGUAUUGCUUUGGCAGUACGCCGGCUUCUUAGAGGGACUAUCGGCUCAAGCCGAUGGAAGUUUGAGGCAAUAACAGGUCUGUGAUGCCCUUAGAUGUUCUGGGCCGCACGCGCGCUACACUGACAGAGCCAGCGAGUCUCCCUUGGCCGGAAGGUCCGGGUAAUCUUGUUAAACUCUGUCGUGCUGGGGAUAGAGCAUUGCAAU
rnacentral:rRNA from 1 species